CUUAAAUAUGCGUGUUUGCUGUAAAUAUGGACAAAGAUUGAUUGGGCACUUUAGGUGGGCAUACCGUGAGUAUUGGAUGCUCAUAAAGGAACCCCAUACAUAG